rnacentral:tRNA from 1 species
UGAGUUGCAAUCAGAAGAUGUAUUAUUAUACAGGGCCUUC